rnacentral:tRNA from 2 species
GCCGGUAUAGCUCAGUUGGUAGAGCACCUGAUUUGUAAUCAGGGGGUCGCGGGUUCGAAUCCUGCUGCCGGCA